rnacentral:rRNA from 1 species
UACCAGCACCCCGAGUGGUCGGGACGUUUAUUGGCCUAAAGCAUCCGUAGCCGGUUCUACAAGUCUUCCGUUAAAUCCACCUGCUUAACAGAUGGGCUGCGGAAGAUACUAUGGAGCUAGGAGGCGAGAGAGGCAAGCGGUACUCGAUGGGUAGGGGUAAAAUCCGUUGAUCCAUUGAAGACCACCAGUGGCGAAGGCGGCUUGCCAGAACGCGCUCGACGGUGAGGGAUGAAAGCUGGGG